GUUAUAUGGUCAAGUGAAGAAGCGCAUACGGUGGAUGCCUUGGCAGUCAGAGGCGAUGAAAGACGUGGUAGCCUGCGAAAAGCUUCGGGGAGUCGGCAAACAGACUUUGAUCCGGAGAUGUCUGAAUGGGGGAACCCAGCCAUCAUAAGAUGGUUAUCUUGUACUGAAUACAUAGGUGCAAGAGGCGAACCAGGGGAACUGAAACAUCUAAGUACCCUGAGGAAAAGAAAUCAACCGAGAUUCCCUUAGUAGUGGCGAGCGAACGGGGACUAGCCCUUAAGUGGCUUUGAGAUUAGCGGAACGCUCUGGAAAGUGCGGCCAUAGUGGGUGAUAGCCCUGUACGCGAAAAUCUCUUAGUCAUGAAAUCGAGUAGGACGGAGCACGAGAAACUUUGUCUGAAUAUGGGGGGACCAUCCUCCAAGGCUAAAUACUACUGACUGACCGAUAGUGAACUAGUACCGUGAGGGAAAGGCGAAAAGAACCCCGGAGAGGGGAGUGAAAUAGAUCCUGAAACCGUAUGCGUACAAGCAGUGGGAGCAGACUUUGUUCUGUGACUGCGUACCUUUUGUAUAAUGGGUCAGCGACUUAUUUUCAGUGGCGAGCUUAACCGAAUAGGGGAGGCGUAGCGAAAGCGAGUCUUAAUAGGGCGUCUAGUCGCUGGGAAUAGACCCGAAACCGGGCGAUCUAUCCAUGGGCAGGUUGAAGGUUAGGUAACACUGACUGGAGGACCGAACCGACUACCGUUGAAAAGUUAGCGGAUGACCUGUGGAUCGGAGUGAAAGGCUAAUCAAGCUCGGAGAUAGCUGGUUCUCCUCGAAAGCUAUUUAGGUAGCGCCUCAUGUAUCACUGUAGGGGGUAGAGCACUGUUUCGGCUAGGGGGUCAUCCCGACUUACCAAACCGAUGCAAACUCCGAAUACCUACAAGUGCCGAGCAUGGGAGACACACGGCGGGUGCUAACGUCCGUCGUGAAAAGGGAAACAACCCAGACCGUCAGCUAAGGUCCCAAAGUUAUGGUUAAGUGGGAAACGAUGUGGGAAGGCUUAGACAGCUAGGAGGUUGGCUUAGAAGCAGCCACCCUUUAAAGAAAGCGUAAUAGCUCACUAGUCGAGUCGGCCUGCGCGGAAGAUGUAACGGGGCUCAAACCAUACACCGAAGCUACGGGUAUCACGUAAGUGAUGCGGUAGAGGAGCGUUCUGUAAGCCUGUGAAGGUGAGUUGAGAAGCUUGCUGGAGGUAUCAGAAGUGCGAAUGCUGACAUGAGUAACGACAAUGGGUGUGAAAAACACCCACGCCGAAAGACCAAGGUUUCCUGCGCAACGUUAAUCGACGCAGGGUUAGUCGGUCCCUAAGGCGAGGCUGAAAAGCGUAGUCGAUGGAAAACAGGUUAAUAUUCCUGUACUUCUGGUUAUUGCGAUGGAGGGACGGAGAAGGCUAGGCCAGCUUGGCGUUGGUUGUCCAAGUUUAAGGUGGUAGGCUGGAAUCUUAGGUAAAUCCGGGAUUCUAAGGCCGAGAGCUGAUGACGAGUUGCCAUUAGGCGACGAAGUGGUUGAUGCCAUGCUUCCAAGAAAAGCUUCUAAGCUUCAGGUAACCAGGAACCGUACCCCAAACCGACACAGGUGGUUGGGUAGAGAAUACCAAGGCGCUUGAGAGAACUCGGGUGAAGGAACUAGGCAAAAUGGCACCGUAACUUCGGGAGAAGGUGCGCCGGUGAGGGUGAAGGACUUGCUCCGUAAGCCCAUGCCGGUCGAAGAUACCAGGCCGCUGCGACUGUUUAUUAAAAACACAGCACUCUGCAAACACGAAAGUGGACGUAUAGGGUGUGACGCCUGCCCGGUGCCGGAAGGUUAAUUGAUGGGGUUAGCUAACGCGAAGCUCUUGAUCGAAGCCCCGGUAAACGGCGGCCGUAACUAUAACGGUCCUAAGGUAGCGAAAUUCCUUGUCGGGUAAGUUCCGACCUGCACGAAUGGCGUAACGAUGGCGGCGCUGUCUCCACCCGAGACUCAGUGAAAUUGAAAUCGCUGUGAAGAUGCAGUGUAUCCGCGGCUAGACGGAAAGACCCCGUGAACCUUUACUAUAGCUUUGCACUGGACUUUGAAUUUGCUUGUGUAGGAUAGGUGGGAGGCUUUGAAGCGUGAACGCCAGUUUGCGUGGAGCCAUCCUUGAAAUACCACCCUGGCAACUUUGAGGUUCUAACUCAGGUCCGUUAUCCGGAUCGAGGACAGUGUAUGGUGGGUAGUUUGACUGGGGCGGUCUCCUCCUAAAGAGUAACGGAGGAGUACGAAGGUGCGCUCAGACCGGUCGGAAAUCGGUCGUAGAGUAUAAAGGCAAAAGCGCGCUUGACUGCGAGACAGACACGUCGAGCAGGUACGAAAGUAGGUCUUAGUGAUCCGGUGGUUCUGUAUGGAAGGGCCAUCGCUCAACGGAUAAAAGGUACUCCGGGGAUAACAGGCUGAUACCGCCCAAGAGUUCAUAUCGACGGCGGUGUUUGGCACCUCGAUGUCGGCUCAUCACAUCCUGGGGCUGAAGCCGGUCCCAAGGGUAUGGCUGUUCGCCAUUUAAAGUGGUACGCGAGCUGGGUUUAGAACGUCGUGAGACAGUUCGGUCCCUAUCUGCCGUGGACGUUUGAGAUUUGAGAGGGGCUGCUCCUAGUACGAGAGGACCGGAGUGGACGAACCUCUGGUGUUCCGGUUGUCACGCCAGUGGCAUUGCCGGGUAGCUAUGUUCGGAAAAGAUAACCGCUGAAAGCAUCUAAGCGGGAAACUUGCCUCAAGAUGAGAUCUCACUGGAACCUUGAGUUCCCUGAAGGGCCGUCGAAGACUACGACGUUGAUAGGUUGGGUGUGUAAGCGCUGUGAGGCGUUGAGCUAACCAAUACUAAUUGCCCGUGAGGCUUGACCAUAUAACACCCAAGCAAUU
rnacentral:rRNA from 4 species